CGGGCAGGGAGAUGAACUCGGGCACAGAGAGCUGCUUGUCACCGUCCUGGUCCAGGUCCCGGACGAUCUCCUUCACCAUGAACCUGAGCAUUCCCCGGCUGUGCUCGGGGUGGAGGAACGACAGGAACUCCUCCUCCGUCAGCAGCAGGUCUGCAGGGGGGCUGUCCGCCUGGUACCAGCGGUCCUUCAGGUUCUCCAGGACUUCCUGUGUUUCCUCAUCCACUUUGAGUUCCUCGUUGAGCCUGAUGGCGUCGGCAACCUCCUUCUCGCUAUGGCCUUUACUCGCCAAAAACUUCACCUUAUACUCGUCCCAAGACACGUGACCGUCCCCGUCAGGGUCCACGGCGCGGAAGUGUGUCUUGCUCUCCUCCAUGGCCUCCUGGAAGUGCUCGGCCGUCUUCUCCAUGAUCCAGCGCUGCAUCUCCUUGGCACUGAUCUUCCGGUCAGUGUUCACAUCCACCUUGGAAAAGAUGACCAUCAGCUUCCUCCGGCUCCGCCGCGGCUCCGCGUCCUCAUCAAAGCCACCCAGGUCCUUGCCUAGGAAGACCUCCUGGUGGAAGCCGCGAUUGAGGUGCCCGUCCAUCUCCAGCUUCACCCCGUUCAGGUGGUCUGGGGGCAGGAUCUCAUUCUCCUCCCUGUUGGCUACUCUCUCUCGAGUGGACGAGUGGUUGGCAGGCCGUGCAGACGCGUCCAUCAGAAGGACUGCCCCCAGGAGCCAGAGGCAGCACGGAGCCAGGCCAAUGAGGGGACCCCACCUGGACGCCAUCGCCACCCAGGGCCAGACCAUGGGGCGGGCUGCAGGGUGUGGGCCAGGUGCUGGGAGGGGCAGGGGCAGGGGCAGAGGAGGAAGUGAGGUCCUGGCUCCAAUCCAAUCCCCGGGCACCACGGAGGGCUCUGUGUCCCCAGGACGGCCGCAGGAUGGGGACAAGCAGCUCACAGUCGGUCUGCCUCCCCGCGCUCGGGAUCCGAGGACCGGAGCGAAGCGUCAGUGACGCCGCCAACGGGCCCGGAUCAGGCCACUG
rnacentral:lncRNA from 1 species